GUUGAGGGAGGUGGAGUAGGGAUGGGGAGGGGGAUGUCUAGGCCUGAGUAGCGGGCAUUUGACUAGACAAUUCAUGGCGUCUUCUUCAAUCCUUUCAACUCUCUGCUCUUGCUGAGUCUGAGUCUGAUCACAGCGGAUUACUGAACACUUGCACUGUGAGUGCGCCCUACUCUCUGUGACCCAGCCUUCUAGUCCUGUUCCCAACCCUGACACCGUCUCCCCAGACAAGACUUUAGCCCACCUGCAUGUCAGCUGUCAGGCUCAGGCAAAAAUGACUAAAGUCACAGGCCCCUGGAACAUAGCUGAACUAGACGUCCUGGCUUCUUCCCACACAGACACCCAGUGUCACCUGCUCGGCUCCUGCCUUUGGGUUCCUGUUGAUUAAACAAUUUGUCCUGCUUUA